rnacentral:rRNA from 1 species
CAACCGGGAAUUGCCUUAGUAACGGCGAGUGAAGCGGCAAAAGCUCAAAUUUGAAAUCUGGCGUCUUCGACGUCCGAGUUGUAAUUUGAAGAAGGCAACUUUGUAGCUGGUCCUUGUCUAUGUUCCUUGGAACAGGACGUCAUAGAGGGUGAGAAUCCCGUGUGGCGAGGAUCCCAGUUAUUUGUAAAGUGCUUUCGACGAGUCGAGUUGUUUGGGAAUGCAGCUCUAAGUGGGUGGUAAAUUCCAUCUAAAGCUAAAUAUUGGCGAGAGACCGAUAGCGAACAAGUACAGUGAUGGAAAGAUGAAAAGAACUUUGAAAAGAGAGUGAAAAAGUACGUGAAAUUGUUGAAAGGGAAGGGCAUUUGAUCAGACAUGGCGUUUGCUUCGGCUUUCGCUGGGCCAGCAUCAGUUUUAGCGGUUGGAUAAAUCCUCGGGAAUGUGGCUCUGCUUCGGUAGAGUGUUAUAGCCCGUGGGAAUACAGCCAGCUGGGACUGAGGAUUGCGACUUUUGUCAAGGAUGCUGGCGUAAUGGUUAAAUGCC